rnacentral:rRNA from 1 species
AACACAGAAGUUAAGCCCACCAGCGCCGAUGGUACUGCGAAAGCGGGAGAGUAGGCCGCCGCCAGUU